rfam:Ruegeria pomeroyi DSS-3, complete genome.
AGCACUCGAAGGCGAUGAUGCUUAAGCGCUUGUCACCUUCAUACCUCCCUGUUGGACUAUGGCCGAGCUUAGUGCUCGGCCUUUUUU